AGGGCCUCGACACGUCACCCCUACGCCGCGCGCCGCACGAUCGCAAGGGGAUGGUGUCGCGUCCCCUUGCGACCGGAUGCGACCUCCCCCAGUAAGGUCCCCGCUCCCACCCCCGCCGCCGCCGUUGCGUCAUUGCCCGGUCGCCGGACGUGGGUGACCGGUCCUUCCGUGCGCGCGUGGGCCUCUCCUCCUCUGCUGCUUGCGUCGCCGCCGCGCUGAGGUAUGGGCUUCUUCCUUUUAGAUGGAGCUUGCGUGCCGCGGACGACGGCCUGGCAUUUGUUUUCCCUGUACGUCGGCGAGGUGUCUGCAGUCUGCGUUCCUUUCUUCCCCUGUCGCCUCGCCUUCGACUGACGCUCAGCCGGUUCGCCCACCAUCCCUUGGAGUCCUUGGUCUUCGAUCCGAAUCUGUGCCAAUCAGGCGGCCAUCAGAAUCGUGUGCGCAAUUCCUCUCCUCCUCUCCUUGCAUCCGCCAUUCCUAAUGUGAUUUGUUGUGUGGAGGCUGUGAUGGAUCAUGGAUUGCCUUCCUUCCUUGCGCAAGCCAUUCUCAAUUCUUUGAACCACCAACCCAAUAGCCGGAGUGGGUGUCAACAUGAACAACGCCCAACAACCGCUCGAGGAAAUGCCUCCAAGGUAAGCAAAGAUUCUUCAUGAAUCCCCUUGCAAAAUUGCCAUGGAUUUGGGUUAGGAGCUGUUCGGUGAGUCUAUUUUGGUUCUACAACUUCCAUUAUUGUUUUUCAGUUUGAUCCCUUUACAUCUUGGUUCCCUAAAUAUCGGAUUGUCUGUACAAAUUGUGGCAGCUCACCUGUUUGAAAUGUUCUCCCUCAAUCUGUUCCUCACCUUUAUGGCUUUAUCUGACUCAUGUUAAAUAAGUAUGCCACCAGAUCCCAAUACGUCUCUUUCGAAUGAUUUUUAAUGUAUAUACCUCAUAUAACUCUUGGCUUCAUGAACCAAGGUCAGCUGGUGGUCGAACCAGUAAGCGCAUAUGCUAGAUAAGAUUACUGCUUCUGCAUAUGGCGUUAUACCAAAUUAUGUGCGAAAAUCCCUCAAAGAUAGUAAUAUUGGCUAUUAAAAUAAUAAGUGUUAUGAUCAUGAUAAUAUCCAUAUGCUCCUGUUGUAAUUAGCACAUCAUUUUUUUUCUCCACAUGAAUUGUUUUUCUAUCUAUCAGGUCUGAAAUUUUAGCACAUUACAUUUUGUGUGAGGAACACGGGAAACAUAGGUAGCCAAGUCUAAUUAUCAACACUCUCCUAAUCAAUAGUUGUAAUGUGCUCAUGUGAUGGUUAAUAUAUCUCAAUUGGAAGUUGGAACAACCAGUUAAAUGACACGUUCUGAAAAUUGGUUAAUGAAAACGUGCAGAGUUCAAUGGCAAACUGUCCAGAUCAAAGAUUUGAAUCAAACAUGAAUGUUCAGUAAUCAGUACUGCACCCAUUUUUUUUAGUAGCCACUUCACUCACUUUCAAAUUCAGCUCUGCAUUCUUACUUGACAUAGAAUUUUGACUGGACAUGUGCAUCCAUUGGUAGUUUGAAGAUCAACCCAUUUUGUCCAAUGAAAGCAUUUAUAUAUGUGGGUACAUAAUUUUUACACAAAGGAUUAUGGAUCUCAUUUUGUUUAUGUCCACUUAAUUGCAUCCUUUAGAUAUAAACGGGUAAGCUCUGCAAAGACAUCAUUCUGCAAGUAAUGGAACUAUUUCUUCUUGACUUACUUCUAAACACCAUAGUUAUCUCUUUUAUUAGCUGAGAUGUUAAGUGAAAGGGUCCUUAAAACAUUGUAAAGCAUUUAUUAUGUAUCAUCCACAUCAGAUUAUGAAAAUAUAGUUUUUUAUAUUUACUGUUGCAAUAAUUGGCAGCAGAAUUUAUUUGAUUUAAAAUUGGGAAUGGAUGAAAGUAAAUGAAUUGACAUUUCUUGCUGAGUGUUGACAUAAUGGAAGUAGUAUCAUCGAUAGUUGUUGCACCAAAAUAGCUCCUGUAUGAUGAUUUGGAAAUAUAAUUUAAUAAAGAACUUAUUUGUUGCAAAUGACCAUCCCAACAAAAUGGUGUUUUAUGAAUAUAAGAGAGCAUUAACAUACACUGCUUGCCUGCUAUUAUGGUGGUUCCUGGAUUUUUUGCUCUUUGAUUGUUUUAUGCACAACUGAAAUUAUUAACCACUCACCAACUUUAUGUCCAUAUAUACUAAGGCUAAACUGGGUGACAUAUUGUUCAUCAAAUCUUUUUCUGAUGAGCUUCUUUUGUGCUUACAGCUGACACUGGGCUGCUGGUGGACAGCUUCCCUAAAGGUAUGUGCCGUGUUUGAUAAUAUGUUCUUUGAACCAUCUAUUUUCCAUGUUUAUUUCUGAGGUUUUGUUUAUAUCUAUGGAAUUCAUUUUGUUAUCGUUUAUCCCUAACCAAUACCAUGUUUAGAUAUGUAUUUGCGAAUUUCCAGAAUAUGUUCCGAUUACAGAUUAAUAUGUCUCAUACCAAGUAUCACUGAAAUUUUGAAAUGAGUUUUGCAGCAUUAUUGGUCUUGAAGUAUUUAUAUCCAAGUCACUAAUAGAUGCUGAUCAAGAAUAUCUUCAAGAAUCUGUUUCCAAAUCAGUUCCUAUGGAUAUGAGUGUGAGCUAGGUGUGUAACAAAUUUUGGUCCAUUGAACCCUUGCUUCACGAGGUAUAUAUCAUAUAUGAUACUGGUUGACAAUGCUGGUGACAGUUCAGAGAUAGAUAAAACUAAACUUCCAUACUACGAUUACAACACUUAACUGCUUGCAUAAUACUAAUGUACACUGCUACACACAUGUCAACGUGGUUUAAAUAAAUAGUUUAGUAGCACGUGAUGCAAAACAUUCUAACUAGAACCUAAGCUGGGCAAUAAAAGCAUUCUCAUUCAGCAAGCGCACUGAACUGGUGAUUGUGUCAAGACAUUCAUGAUGAUCAGAAGCAAGAGACUGUAAAUCAAGGUGCUCAUUCCCUGUGUCAGAUUAUAUCAAGUUGUGUGUGAAAUUUCCUUGAAGAUGAAGUAAUAAUUUGUGUUACUUUUGAGAUCAUAUCUACAUGCUUUGAAACAAAUCGUGUCUUCCUUUUUCUUCUGCAUCAUUCUUUUUCUGUGUAUUCAGGUUGCAAGUAGAGCAUGUUGAAUUAUUAUUGUCCAUUUGAGGAUAAAGUAAUUGACUAGCGAUCUAUAGGGUGAUGAUUUGCUUUUGUGGUUCUGUUACAAAUUCUGUGUAGAUUGGUUGUGUAAUCUCAGUAGUGCAUAGCAAAUGAGCUAUGUGAGUGAUUCUUUUUUCUUUCUGCGGGAAGCUGUGUAAGUUUUAAUGGACCAAAGUCACAAAUUGCAAAAUGUAUAAUGUAUUUAUAGUAUUAACUUUUUCAUGA